CCUGGCUGCAACAAAAGUACGGCUGCAGGUGCGUUCCUUCAGUUUUGCAGUUCGAUUUAUUACUUGUGCGUAUGUGCGUGUAUACUGAGAAAGAGGACGAGAUUAUUCUAUUCUAGCAGUCAUAUUUCUGUACAAAUCUGCUCCCCUCCACUCCUUUUUCGAUUGCCUGAAAUCUGAAUGUGAAAAGUAGUUGCAAAUUGAGAGCAGCAGCCUAAACGUGCAAAAGUUCAGAGUCAGAGGACGUGUAGGCUCGAAGAUGGGUUGCCAUGCUUUGUAAGUAUGAUUAGAUGGAUUAGUAACUUGCUUCUUUGUGUGCAAGACAAUGUAAUUAUGAUAAACUAUACGUAAUUAAACUAAUUGCAUACAUUUGAACUGUAAUUUCAUGGCUAGGCACUUUAUAUUGUGCAGAAUUCAUAGAUUCAUGCUUAAAUGAAGUGCAAUGUAUUUUCUCGGUGGGGGCAUUUGUGCACGCGGACAGAGGCGAUCAAGGGAAGCAGUCAUGAGCGAGGUGUUCGAGCGCUACGAGCUCCAGUAAUGCGAGUUCUCCGACGCCUCCGCUCUUGAUGGACGUACGUUCCCACCCGCCCCCCGUGACUAAUUCUAUCCGGAGAUUUCUCCCCCUUUUCGCUAAUGUUAGUUUCGUCUACAUGACGAGAUCGAUGCAUUGAAGAAGAAGCAGAAGCUCUCCGAGAUCCAGUCCGGUGCGCAGGAUGCUGUGUCGCUUGUAAAUACUUGAUUAAAUUUUAUUUAUAUUGAUACUUCUUUCCGCUGCCUUACAUUCUGCCGUUAGAAAGUUAUCAGCACUAGGCAUGUUAUUUUACCAGGAGGACGCUUUAUUUUGGUGUAGGUGAACAUGUGAUUUGGGGAAGCUCUGUAGAUCCAGUUACAUUGCGGACCUGCCAGCUACCAUCUAAAAAAUGGGUUGAUGAUCCAGGUACAUUGCUACUCGGCCUUGCCUUUAUUUGAAGUUUUCUGAGAUAAACUCUUUGAAACCUCAAAACAAACACUUCUGCUUCGGUAGACCCCCCUUAAACACAUUAACGAUUGAGAUUACUCCAUACCCCUUCAUAAUAAAGGGCACGAUGGUCAUUUUGAAAGUAUAUCACCUUUGAGUUUUUUUUUGAGUAAUUACCGAGCACGGAUACGGUGCACAACUGGGCCGGCCUACCAGGCGAGAGGCCACUUGCCAUUUGAGUGCGCGAGGUAAAAAUGCUGGGAAAAUUAGAAAACAAGAAUGAGGGGUCGAAUUCAUAACCUCAUCCUUCAGUUUAGGGGAGCUAGCCACUGGACUACGCCACCACUGCUGAAAAUGUAAAUCACGAAAUAUACUAUUAUUUGCUCCUUGUAGUACUUUGUACUCCUCAAGUUUUUUUUCCUUUUGAGAAUCUUUGUACUACUCAAGUUGUUCAAGGGUUCUGUGCGUCUAUAUUUAUUUUGUGUGGAGGAACGUAGCAAAGUACUACGUGGAUACAUGUGCAAAUCUCAAAUCGAUUUGUGCAAGCUAUACUUGUACACGUGUGCGCGCAUGUCAUUUCUGUUGAUUUCUUCGUCAUAGAUUCAUGGAUGUAGUCUAGUGUAUGUGUAUGUGUCUCCAAACAGCCAUUGUAUCAUGUAUGUAUGUUCCCUUUUUUAUAAUUUUGUUCCCAAAUUUAAAAAGUUGAUAAAUUUUAAAAAAAAUAUGUAGUAUGCAAAUUGUCUUCAAUAUAAAUUAUUGGGAAUUUGUUAACAAUUUUGAAAAAAUGUUCAAUUUUAUAAAAUUUCCAUACACAAUUUAAAACUUCAAAAUUAUUGACAAAAUUUCAAGAAGUGGUUACGAUAUGAGAAAAUAUUCAUGUUAAUUGAUAAUGACGAAAACUGCAAAUAACUAAAGCAUUCAAAUUAGGAAAAAAAUACAUGCUUAGAGAUCCAUCCGUCUGGCCUAGUCUAACACACUCCUCUCAACUGGUGUUUUUUUGGACCAUGGAUAAGUGACUCCAACUUCUGGCAGUAGCCUGGCACGAACAUAUGAGGCAUCCGAGCCAGGUUUAAACGACUUCCGACAUUGUUUGCACGUUGCCAUACGUCCGACAAGAUAUCAUACCCUUUUCACCGAGAAAACUCCAGAAAAUACAAAAUUUGUCAAGAAUCCAAACAACUUGGCAUAAUGCCUUGAAUUGGUCACAUAAGUUUGUGAAAAAAAACUGGGGCCAUUUGACAGAUGUGAAAAGACAAUGUGCUUUAAAACAGGCUCUUCUAGCUUUACAAAACACCCUCCGUUGAACAUGAUCUAGUUUUGGACAUUCUUAAAAUGACCUCAGCUUUUGCAAGUAGGUGGGUAUACCCGUGGUAGACAUCCAUGCCUAGUUUAAAUGAUUGCCGACACCAUAUGCAAGUUACGACACGUCCGAUCAUUUAUCUACAUUUUUGACUUAGAAAACUCCAGAAGAUGCAAAAAAACACGAAAACCGAAACAACUUGGGAUUGGUCAUAGCAGAUGGUAGAAAUUUUUUCGGGCCCAUUCGAAGGAUGUCGAGAUACAACGUGCUCACAAACGGAGCCUUGUGGGCAACCCGAACACCCUUCGUUGAACAUGGUCUAGUUUUGGACAUUCUUGAAAUGAAACCAACUUUUUCAAGAAGGUGUGCAUGCACAUGGUAGUCAUCCAUGCUAAGUUUGAAUGAUUUCUAACACCGUAUGCAAGUUGCGACACGUCCGGCCAUUUAUCUACCUUUUUUGUCUGAGAAAACUCCAUAAAAUGCAAAAUUUGUCAAAAACCAAAACAACAUGGCAUGGUGCCUUGAAUUACUCAUAGAAGAUGGUGGAAAGUUUGAAUGAUGUGCCCAUUUGAAUGAUGUCGAGAAAUGAUGUGCUCUCAGACGGAGCCUUCUGGCCAACGUAAACACCCUCCAUUGAGCAUGGUCUAGUUUUGUACAUUUUUGAAAUGUUACCAACUUCUUCAAGGAGGUGGGCAUGCCCAUGGUAGCCAUCCAUGCCAGAUUUGAACGAUUUCUGGCACCAUAUGCAAGUUACGACAUGUGUGACUAUUCAUCGGGCUUUUUUGACCAAGAAAACUCCAGAAAAGGCAAAGUUUGUCGAAACUAAAAAACUUGACAUGAUGCCUUGAAUUUGUCGUACAAGUUCAUGGUAAAAAAUAGGGUCAUUUAAAGGAUGUCGGGAAACAACGUGCUCUGAGGCGAAGCCUUCUAGCCUAACCGAACACCAUCCAUUAAACAUUGUCUAUGUUUGGACAUUCUUUAAAUGACCCCAACUUUUGUAAGCAUGUGGGCAUCCCAAUGGUUGGCAUCCAUGUUAGGUUUGAACGACUUCCGAUGCCGUAUGCAAGUGUCGCAAAUGUCGUGCCAUUUAUCGCUCUUUUUUUACCGAGAAAAUUUCAGAAAAUGCAAAAUUUUGUCGAAAACCAAAAUAACUUGGCAUGCCUUGAAUUGAUCAUACAAGGCCAUGGAAAUUUAGGCCAUUUGAAGGAUGUCGGGAUACAGGGUGCUCUCAAGCGAAACCUUGUGGCCACCCGAACACCCUCCGUUGAAUUUUUUUUGCCAUUCAUGAAAUGGUCUUAACUUUUGCUACCAGGGGGGCAUGCCCAUGAUAGGCAUAUAUGCCAGGUUUGACGUAAAAAUAUAUUUAAAAUUACUAUCUAAAAAGGUAACCAAGUUUUAAAACAAUAAUAAAUCAAAAAGAAGAAAAAUGAAUUAACAUGAAUAGAGAAGAAAAAAAAUAAAAGAAAAGAAUGCUUAGGCUUUGGCCCAACUAGGCGACAACAUCGCUCCUGUCAGGCGCCUAUUAGGCCGGCCUAAGCAUUCACAGAUUUUGAAAAGCACAUCAGUUUUUAGAAUAAUGUUCAUGGAUUUGAAAAAAUUUAUAGAUUUUCAAAAAAAAAAAGUUUACCAAAGAAAGAUGCAAAACAAUGUUCCCGAUUUUGGGAACCCAGCUUGCCAGCUGGAUUUAAAAAAACUCAUCGUAUGUGAAAAAAAAAGUUCAUCAAUCUUGAAAAAAAAAAUCACAUGUUUUGAAGAAGGGUUCACAGAUUUGUUUUUUAAUAAGGAUUCGAAACAAGUUCACAGAUUUGGAAAAUAUUUCAUAAAUUUAAUAAAAGUUAACGAUUUUUAAAAAGAAAACAAAAAUGGAAAAAAGUAGAAAACAAAAAAAAAUUGAAACUCGACAAAAAAUAUUGGAAACCCACUGCGUAUUAUAAGUAAGAUAGCUGUCGUACCAAUAAUUGUUACAACUACUAACGUGGUCUGUUGGUUACCUUGUUGUAUAGUCGAACGGGAGGUCUCUAGUUCGAACCAUGCUAUACGUAAGUGUGAAAAGUCCAUAUUACCCUUUAUACGGUUUGUAGGGGGGGUCUACCAAAGCGGAACUCCAAAACAAAUACUCUCGUAUUUUGAGGUUGCUACUUGCAGAUUCUUCAUCUGCUGAUCAAUUUGGUUGCAUUAUUUUGCACUGUAUCCGCCAAUUUGGUUGCAUAGUGCUCGUGUCUUUUACAUUAGUGUAAGUGUGGGUUGGGUUGCACAAUGUUGUCUGCAAGGUAUACCUUAGAAUGAUAAAGCACACAAGUGCUAUGGCCUAUGGGCCAAUUCUGCUGAAAGAAUAUGGUCCUUAAAUCAGCCUUUAUACAAUGUGAAAAAAGUAGCAUGCAUCAAUGAAACCCGAGGUUGCAAUAAACUUGGUUAUUCAUAACAGUAUGUACUAGCUUACUGCUGCUGGUCGAUUAUCAUUCUUUUUUUUAUCAGUACAUGACAUGUACCAAAAAAAUUGUAGACUACCUGUGCGGCCCUAUUUUGGGUUAUAUCAGGAUCGAUAACCAUAUAAAUUAAAUUUUGGUUUUAUUUGAAUCAAGCAGUUACGAAAUCUUAUGGUUUUGUGUUUUUUUAGAUAUUUGCUUCACAUAUCCAAUGUAGAUGAGAAUGGCAACAUUUAGUCACCAAAGAGAUUAUGCAUUGAAUCGAGGAGCACAUUGGUAGACCAAAAUUGCAAGCACCACCAUCAAAGCAAAGCUAUACAUUGAAAGUGAAAUGGCGUCCUCUCCAGUCGGACAUUUGUAAGGUUUGUGACACAUUUCAGAAGCGGAGAAGUGCCAUGUUCAAUUGUCAACUGAGAUGCGUUUGUUUUCAAGGUUGCCUGAGGAUGUGUGUUGCUCGGAAUAAGGCUCACUUCCAUUUAAUCCAAGUUCUUUCACUUACCUUAUUUGUCUCCUGGCACUUUUCAUGUGAUGUGUGAUUUCUUCCUUUUCAAAGUUGUUUGUUACUGAACCAGCCUGACCUAAAACUGAUUUGACUUAUGAUUACUUGGUAAUGCUUAUAGUUUUCUCGAACUUUUUAUGCUUGAAAGAAAGCAAAAUGAAUGUAUGUUGGGAUCAUGAAUCCAUUAAGUUAUGUAAGUAUCUCUUUCUGGUUUGAUUUUGGUAUCUUUUUUUCUUCAUGCAUUUAAUUUGUCGUGCACUUGUCUUCUGUAAGUUGCUAUAAGGAUUACAUAACAUUCUUUACCGAUUAU
rnacentral:lncRNA from 1 species